rnacentral:rRNA from 1 species
CCCAAGAGAUCGGGAUAACACCUGGAAACAGAUGCUAAUACCGGAUAACAACAGAUGAUGCCUAUCAACUGUUUAAAAGAUGGUUCUGCUAUCACUCUUGGAUGGACCUGCGGUGCAUUAGCUAGUUGGUAGGGUAACGGCCUACCAAGGCGAUGAUGCAUAGCCGAGUUGAGAGACUGAUCGACCACAUUGGGACUGAGACACGGCCCAAACUCCUACGGGAGGCAGCAGCA